UAUUUGUAGACUCAUCAUUUGUAGUUUGCCCUGCUUUCCAUUUCCACUAUGUCAAAACCAGUGCUUUUAUCAUCGUCAUUAUUAUGUUUCCGUUUAACGUCACUAGGGGGCAGCCUAGAACAAGUAAUGCUCCUGAAGUGGCCCCGCUAAUAUAGCAGGUUUGAAGAAGUGGUAAAAAUGGCGGGUUAGCAGAAUUUUAAAUGCGGGUCGUAAAUCAUGAUUUACAAUAGGCGCGUUACAAGUGGAGUAUUCCCGGGGGAGUACAGUGUCUUGUAUUUGAGUCAUUGUAGUUGUCAAGUUAUCAAAAUGAAUUAUGACUGAAGUUGCUUUAGAUUCGUCUACUUAUACGCUUUGUAAAUGGGCUAAGAAUGGCUUUCUGAAAAUAAUGGAACAAACUAUCUAAGAGCGAAAAUAUUUUCGUUGCAACUUUUUAUUGUCUAUAGGCUGUUUUAACCGUCAUAGUCAUACUUUGCUGUGGGUAAACUUUGCGUAAACGUACUGUAGUCCAUGUGUAAAGUGUUCGUCCAUUCGGUCAACCGUCUUCCAACCGUUUACUCUGGUCAAGAUCUCGGCUGCAACUUAAUGUUCAUUCUAAGGUCAUUUGUGCGAUUUUUUUCAACAGCUCAGUCGAAGACACCUGUUAAUAAAGUACAGGGGGUGGGUGGGGGGUAAGAAUAGACAAUUUAUCCAAGAUUUCAGUUUAAAAUAUCAGAUUUUAUAUGCUAGUUCAUCCCAUAAUCAGACGUAAUUCAAAGUGGGGAUGUGUAUAUUACUGCCUCAAACAUCUGAUUAGUUGUACGAUCCAGUAAAGGCCAUGACAGUGAUUUAUUAAACCUCUGUGAGAUGUGUUCAGCGUUAAUUUGUGAAUAUAUAAUAUUUUAUUUUAGACCCUAUUUUAUUUAUUAAUGGGCUGUUUUUAUUUCAGGUUUCAGAACGUUUUCUAUUUGAAGAAAAUGUUGGAUUUGUUCAUGUGAAGUCUGCAUGUUCACCUGGAUUUCCAAAACAUAUGGUUUGAUGAACUGGUGUCCCGGACUUUCCCAUACUGUGUCAGUGGAUGUGUAUCCUGCGAUGGACCGGCGUCCCAUGCCCACCUGGGAUAUUCUCCAAGCUCACUGUGACUCGACCCAGUUCUGGAUCAGUAAUUAUGGCAAACGGAAGGAUGGAUAUACACUGAGGUGUGGACUGUAAUUGAAAAAGAGUCACCAGCCGUCAGGGACUGUUUGUUUAUUUCUUAAUUGUAUAGCAGGAUUGUUUUAUCUAUCACCAGCCUUUUGCCUGAAAAAAUCAGGUUUUAACAUAGAGGAAUGAAGGUACUAUUUUGAAGUUGUACAGGCAUCUGGUCUGUGGCUCAUUCGGCAUCGUUCCUGCUAACCGAGAUGUUUCUCCUGACGAAGCCGUGGUCAGCAUUCUUCUUAUCUGGUCAUGCCACCAUGACAGCCUGGGCAGGAAGAGAAGUGGACACUGUGACUAUGGGGAAGCUGGAUCUAGAGACCAGGAGUUAUCUCAGUGUAACGGGUUCAUAUGGGACUGAGAUAGGGGUGACACUGGUCACUCAGUCAUUUCCUUGGAGCAGCUACUUUACGAUCCUUCACACUCCGUCAUGGUGUCAAGGAAAACUGUCUCUUGUGACAAUUCUGUUAUUAAUCAUAUGUUCUUCAAUAAUUUUUUAAACCAUGUUUAGAUUUUUUUUUAACAGUAUCUUGGAAUAUGGUCACUGCUUUUUGCUGACAAGCCCACCAUGUUAUUUAUAAAGCGCAACAGGAGACACGUACAUUAAGAUUAACUUUUGGUCCGGUAAAACACAAAGCUUUGGUAAGACGAAUAUUCUGUCCUCUAACGAUGAUUUUCUAAUAUGGCUGAUUAAAAACAUGGAGUCUGAGUUCUGGUCA